UAUUUAUUUUUUUCAAAUAUUUUUUUAUGGGCUUCUAAGGGGUAACUCGUGAAAGUAGAUACCUUUGGACAAAAAUUUUGUCCGUUUUGCUCUAUCUCGCACCGUUUGGGUGCUAGGGAGCAUUUCUUGGCGAAAUUGAGGUGAAAACGACAAAGUGGUCUAUUAAAUCGUAAAAUAUAACUCGUCUGGGGUGUCAGCGCCGCAGGCCUAGCUAUAUGUGCGCCAGGCGCGUCGCAGCGUAACAGUGUUUCGUGAUAUAUCGCGAAGCCUGUUACGCGAGACGUGGUCUGGCGUACAUAUAGCUAGUUACUUUAAAAUUAGGGAAAUGAAACUUCUGCUGUUCGGUAACGGUUUUCAUUAAAAGUUCGAAUUUUGACAGAUUGUAAUGUAAAAAUCAACGUUUUAGAGAUACUAGAUGAUCUAGGGACCCUUAUAAGCCCAAAAAAGAGUGUGGUUCGACCCGUAAUGUGUGGUUGAAGAAUUACUCCCUUUACAAUUCAGUGACAUGGAGCCUUUUUUACGAUUUAAUAGACCAUUUUGUCUUUUUCACGUUGUUUUCGCCGAGAAGUUCCCCAUAGCGCCAAACCGGUACAAGAUAGAGCAAAACGGACGAAAUUUUCGUCUUGAGGGUUCUACUUACACAAGUAACCACAUAGAAACACAUCAAAAAAUGUUUGAAAAACAAUUAUUUUGCAGCCUGUGGUUUUUUUUUUUUUUAAAAAGUCAAUUUUUAAACUAGAAUGCUCAUCGUCGAACUCGAUCUGUCUUUAUAUGAUACAAAACGACCCUGAAAUUCCCAGAUCGCUCUCUCAAUUCUUUCUCGAGUUAUCGUGCGGACAAACAGACUGACAAACAAAGCAGAAUGCAACUUUUCCGGUCAGUAAAGUUAUGGGCUUCGCUAAUCGCCCAGAGAUUUAUGGAUGCAAUUAAGCACAUAGUCACAGAGACAUGAUAUUCUUGGAUCACUGCUGGAGCGGAAAUUAUCAUCAGCAGGCUUCCUUCAGCAAGUUAUCGGUUUAAGGCUAUGUCAUAAAGGCUGCAGAUUUGGUUUGCCUCAGAGCCCUGCACGGAGCGAGCAUCGGAUGCCUACAUGGCGUCGAAAGCGGUUGUGGGAGCGAGAAGCUCGCGCCGGGCCAUAGCUCCCUCUCACUCCGAUUCGCUUUCGCACGCCAUGUAGGCAUCCGAUGCUCGCUCGGUGCAGGGCUCUGGUUUGCCUUCCCUGCCUUUAAAGUGCAAGACGCAAAAAUAUGAUUCACUCAAAGCUAAUCCCACUGUAUUAAAUAUGUGUUUCCAGGAAAACAGCAUCUGGAAACGACCUUCUCGCAUCUAUCUUUACCAUAGCGCUUGGAAGCGACGCCAAUCUCGAUUUCCUGGAAAAACUAGCAAUCAACAACGGUGGCAAAGCUCGACAAGUUUACGAAGCCUCCGACGCUUCACUUCAACUGCAAGAUUUCUAUCAGGCCAUUGCUUCGCCUCUUCUUAAAAAUGUUUCCGUAAUAUUCAACUACCAGCAGGCGGAGGAGCCCAGCCUCACGCAGACGGACUUCCGCACGUACUUCUGGGGCUCAGAACUUGUUGUCGCCGGCCGUCUUCUGCCAGGCGAGAACCAGCUGAGUGGAGUCGUCACUGCUCUCGCAGCUGGCGGCCAGGUUGUCAGCUAUGCCAUCCAGGUGAAUGCGCCGUUAAUAGUGUUGUAGGAUAUCAGAGCGACUCUUAGAUCUAGCGUUUCUAGAUUGUACUUUGUAAAAUAACUUUUGUUUAUUUUUCUUACUUGUAAGAAAAUUUAAAUUAUUAGAAAAAUAGGUUGUUUCUUACACUUUAAUUCCGUGUGGAUGAUUUUUAGAACGGAAAACUUUUAUAAGGAUUUUUAUUGAA